UCGGACGUGGUGCACGGUGCACGCCUGCACAUAUUAGCUGCAUUUCGUUCUUUGAAGCGGGAGGCCUGGGUUCGACCUCCAGCGUCCGAA